AUUGAACGCUGGCGGCAUGCUUUACACAUGCAAGUCGAACGGUAACAGGCCUUCUGGUGCUGACGAGUGGCGAACGGGUGAGUAAUGCAUCGGAACGUACCCAGAGGUGGGGGAUAACGCAGCGAAAGCUGUGCUAAUACUGCAUGUGAUCUGAGGAUGAAAGCGGGGGACCGAGCAGCAAUGUUUGGCCUCGCGCCUUUGGAGCGGCCGAUGUCGGAUUAGCUAGUUGGUGGGGUAAAGGCCUACCAAGGCGACGAUCCGUAGCUGGUCUGAGAGGACGACCAGCCACACUGGGAAUGAGACACGGAGCAGAAUCCGACGGGAGGCAGCAGUGGGGAAUUUUGGACAAGGGGCGGAAGCCUGAUCCAGCAAUGCCGCGUGCGGGAAGAAGGCCUUCGGGUUGUAAACCGCUUUUGGCAGGAACGAAACGGUGUCCGCUAAUACCGGGCGCUAAUGACGGUACCUGCAGAAUAAGCACCGGCUAACUACGU
rnacentral:rRNA from 1 species